rnacentral:rRNA from 1 species
GACGAACGCUGGCGGCGUGCUUAACACAUGCAAGUCGAACGGAAAGGCCCUGCUUUUGUGGGGUGCUCGAGUGGCGAACGGGUGAGUAACACGUGAGUAACCUGCCCUUGACUUUGGGAUAACUUCAGGAAACUGGGGCUAAUACCGGAUAGGAGCUCCUGCUGCAUGGUGGGGGUUGGAAAGUUUCGGCGGUUGGGGAUGGACUCGCGGCUUAUCAGCUUGUUGGUGGGGUAGUGGCUUACCAAGGCUUUGACGGGUAGCCGGCCUGAGAGGGUGACCGGCCACAUUGGGACUGAGAUACGGCCCAGACUCCUACGGGAGGCAGCAGUGGGGAAUAUUGCACAAUGGGCGGAAGCCUGAUGCAGCAACGCCGCGUGCGGGAUGACGGCCUUCGGGCUGUAAACCGCUUUCGCCUGUGACGAAGCGUGAGUGACGU